rnacentral:rRNA from 1 species
UACGUAGGGUGCAAGCGUUGUUCGGAAUUACUGGGCGUAAAGCGCGCGCAGGCGGAUCCUGCAAGUCGGAAGUGAAAUGUGGCUGCUCAACGGCCACGCUGCUUCCGAUACUGCGGAUCUGGGGACCGGUAGAGGCUGGUGGAAUUGCAGGUGUAGCGGUGAAAUGCGUAGAGAUCGGGAGGAACAUCUGUGGCGAAGGCGACUGCCUGGACCAGCACUGACACUGAGGCACGAAAGCGUGGGGAGCAAACAGG